rnacentral:rRNA from 1 species
CCCAGACUCCUACGGGAGGCAGCAGUGGGGGAUAUUGCACAAUGGGGGAAACCCUGAUGCAGCGACGCCGCGUGAGUGAAGAAGUAUUUCGGUACGUAAAGCUCUAUCAGCAGGGAAGAAAAAAGACGGUACCUGACUAAGAAGCCCCGGCUAACUACGUGCCAGCAGCCGCGGUAAUACGUAGGGGGCGAGCGUUAUCCGGAUUUACUGGGUGUAAAGGGAGCGUAGACGGCGUCGCAAGUCUGAAGUGAAAGCCCGUGGCUCAACCGCGGAACCGCUUUGGAAACUGCGAGGCUGGAGUGCUGGAGAGGUAAGCGGAAUUCCUAGUGUAGCGGUGAAAUGCGUAGAUAUUAGGAGGAACACCAGUGGCGAAGGCGGCUUACUGGACUGUAAAUGACGCUGAGGCUCGAAAGCGUGGGGAGCAAACAGGAUUAGAUACCCUGGUAA